GACGAACGCUGGCGGCGUGCUUAACACAUGCAAGUCGAACGGAAAGGCCCUGCUUUUGUGGGGUGCUCGAGUGGCGAACGGGUGAGUAACACGUGAGUAACCUGCCCUCGAUUUUGGGAUAACUUCAGGAAACUGGGGCUAAUACCGGAUAGGAGCUCCUGCUGCAUGGUGGGGGUUGGAACGUUUCGGCGGUUGGGGAUGGACUCACGGCUUUUCAGCUCGUUGGUGGGGUAGUGGCUUACCAAGGCUUUGACGGGUAGCCGGCCUGAGAGGGUGACCGGCCACAUUGGGACUGAGAUACGGCCCAGACUCCUACGGGAGGCAGCAGUAGGGAAUAUUGCACAAUGGGCGGAAGCCUGACGCAGCAACGCCGCGUGCGGGAUGACGGCCUUCGGGUUGUAAACCGCUUUCGCCUGUGACGAAGCGUGAGUGACGGUAAUGGGUAAAGAAGCACCGGCUAACUACGUG
rnacentral:rRNA from 1 species